GGGAUGUAACUCAGUGGUAGAGUACUUGCUGAACAUGUGCAUGGUCCUGGGUUCAAUUCCCAGAACCACCA
rnacentral:tRNA from 1 species